rnacentral:rRNA from 1 species
CCUACGGGAGGCAGCAGUGGGGAAUAUUGCACAAUGGGCGAAAGCCUGAUGCAGCGACGCCGCGUGAGGGAUGACGGCCUUCGGGUUGUAAACCUCUUUCAGCAGGGAAGAAGCGAAAGUGACGGUACCUGCAGAAGAAGCGCCGGCUAACUACGUGCCAGCAGCCGCGGUAAUACGUAGGGCGCAAGCGUUGUCCGGAAUUAUUGGGCGUAAAGAGCUCGUAGGCGGCUUGUCACGUCGGUUGUGAAAGCCCGGGGCUUAACCCCGGGUCUGCAGUCGAUACGGGCAGGCUAGAGUGUGGUAGGGGAGAUCGGAAUUCCUGGUGUAGCGGUGAAAUGCGCAGAUAUCAGGAGGAACACCGGUGGCGAAGGCGGAUCUCUGGGCCAUUACUGACGCUGAGGAGCGAAAGCGUGGGGAGCGAACAGGAUUAGAUACCCUGGUAGUCCACGCCGUAAACGGUGGGAACUAGGUGUUGGCGACAUUCCACGUCGUCGGUGCCGCAGCUAACGCAUUAAGUUCCCCGCCUGGGGAGUACGGCCGCAAGGCUAAAACUCAAAGUAUAGUGCGNGNGAGAGCGACGACGACGACGACGGAGGAGAG